AACGCACCUUGCACUGUGCUUGCACAGUAUGCCUGUUUGAGAAUCUAUUGUAUUCUUGCCUCUGUUUCUCUGGAACAGUGGCAGAUCUGGGGCUUCGGUGUCAAAAGCCGUGCUCUGAAAUAGAUAGCCGACCGUGUCGCUGCAAAGCGACGGGUACGCAGUGCUUGACUGAAACCGUGGUUUCUCCCUGCGCGAGUGCCUAGGCCGGACUCUACCAAACGUGGUUCUCACGAACCGAACACUUGGUCUCAAAUCAGGUAGGAAGACCCGCUGAACUUAA
rnacentral:misc_RNA from 1 species